GACGUAGGGCGCGAGCGUUGUCCGGAUUUAUUGGGCGUAAAGAGCUCGUAGGCGGCUUGUCGCGUCGGAUGUGAAAGCCCCGGGGCUUAACCCCGGGUCUGCAUUCGAUACGGGCAGACUAGAGUGUGGUAGGGGAGAUCGGAAUUCCUGGUGUAGCGGUGAAAUGCGCAGAUAUCAGGAGGAACACCGGUGGCGAAGGCGGAUCUCUGGGCCAUUACUGACGCUGAGGAGCGAAAGCGUGGGGAGCGAACAGG
rnacentral:rRNA from 1 species